CACUGAGAGGCGACAUAUUUUUUCCGGGACGGCCAGUUAUUUAAAAUCGGAAUUUCUCUGAAAUAAAAAAUCUUUGGAGACUUUUGAGAUAUUGUAAGUACACAACUGGAGGAAAUAUAUCACACUGUGCAAGUUAUUUUCGGAAAUUUUAUUACAAAAUUCCUACAUAUUGGAGCUUUAAAGUCUGGGCAGCCCGUGAUGCCAGUACAAGCUGUGCCUGAAAUAUGUAGGACUUCACAGGCAAAAUUGCUAGGGCACAGCCUGAAAAAAAUCAGGACAGACACACUGUACUCCAAAUGUCAGCUUGUCUCCAGAGACACACAAUAACGUGCAACACUUUCUUCACAUGGAAUGCCCUGGGCACAAAGCUUCUUCAGAGAAAAGUGACUGGUUAGAACUGUGUGUAGGAAUAAGCCAAAGCUCCUUUCUUUAGACAAGAUACCUUGCUGGCCCAUGGCACGUUUUUUCAAUAUGCUGGAUGUUUACAUGUGCAUUUCCUUUGUGCUGUGGAAGGAAGUAAAUCUUUCUUGGAUUCAAGCAAAUAGCUACCAAAGAGGUUUUUCUGGAUGAGCUAGAGAGCACAUUUAUGGCCUUCUGAUGAUGGCACCAGAUCUGCUUUCUAUGCAUUUGAAUAUGCGAAGACAGAGCUAUAUUCUUUGUAACCCUCCUACAUCAUACAGAUAUCAAAAUCUCUUUUGAUAUCUAGUUGUGAAAGAUCUAAUUGUUAGCAUUCUGUGGGAGGUCCAAAGUUUCCUCCUUCUGAAAGACUUGAGCAAAAUUUUAUUUAGUCCUCUCACUGAAAAGUAAAAUACAAAUAUAAAUUCUGAAAUUUCCUUGAAUAAAAAAUAAUUAAAAAAAAACACAAAAUCAAUAAAACAAGCAUGCAACAAAAAAACAAUGAAAAAAGCGAAAAGGAAAGGUUAACGUAACAAUAUACAGUAUUGUCAGCCUCACACGAUAACCACAUUGUAAACUGUUUACCACAAUGUAUAUGUGUGCAUUUGUAGACAGCAAUGGAAAAUGAAUGACUUUGUGAACAAGAGGCCUGUGAGAGAGUUCAAAGAUGUGUGUAGGUUUGUGAAAG
ensembl:lncRNA